rnacentral:piRNA from 1 species
UGGUUAAGGAUGUUCCUUGUCUACCACU